rnacentral:lncRNA from 1 species
CCCCAAUGUCCCCACCAUGGCCACCUGCAACGUUCAGUGUCCUCCCCGUGUCCCCUGAUGUCCCCAGCGCUGUCUCCAGCAUGUCCCCGAUGUGUCCCCAGUGGUGGCCUCAGUGUCCCCAAUGUCUCCUCAGUGGCAGCCCCAGCACCGGCCCCAGUGAUGUCCCCGGAGUGUCCCCAACGCUGUGGCCAAGGUGGCCUCAGAGAUGUCCCCAACAGAGCCCCAGUGAUGUCCCCAGUGUGGUAACGGCUUGUCCCCAGUGCUGGCCCUCAGCAUGUCCCCAUCAUGAUGUCCCCAGUUUCCCCCCAGUGCUGUCCCCAGCAUCCCCUGAUGUGUCCCACCGUGUCCCCCAUGGCUUGGGGACAUCCAGCCGGCCACCCUCGGGGACAUCUCUCCUCCUGGUGUCCCCUUCACCUGGCGUCCCCCAUGUCCCUGCCAUGUCCCCAACCCCCAGUGACAGGUCGGGGGCUCAGCGUAUCCCUGAGGUUUAUUGGGGGGAUGGUGUCACCAACCUGUCCCUGGUGUCUUUGGACCACAAAGGGGACAUCCUCAACUCCCCCAGGUGGGACAGGGGACAUCCCAGUGUCCCCAGGACUGAGAAGGGACACCCUGGUGGCUCCAGGCUGAGGAGGACCCUACUGGUGUCCUCAGAUGGGACAGGGGACACCCCAGUGUCCCCAGGAUGGAGAAGGGACAUCCUGGUGGCUCCAGGAUGAGGAGGACCCUAUUGGUGUCCCCAGAUGGGACAGGGGACAUCGGUGUGUCCCCAGGACGAGCAGGACCCUCCUGGUGUCCCCCAUCCUCGUCCCUACUCGUCCCCCGGCAGAGCCUCCAGCGCUCGGGCCAACCUCUCCGUCCCCUUCUUGUCCCCCAUCGCUGUCCCCAAGGCCACCACGGCGUCCCCCAGGGCCUGGGCGCUGGCAGGGAAGCCCUGCCCCAUCUCCAGGUCCUGGGUGACAGCGUCCACCAGGCUCCUCAGGUGACCGGCCACCUCCUCCAGCGUCCCCAAGGUGACGUUGGCAGCGGCGAUGGCCUCGGUGGCCUCGGUGGUGGC